UGGGGAAUUUUGGACAAUGGGCGAAAGCCUGACGCAGCGACGCCGCGUGAGUGAUGAGGGCCUUCGGGUUGUAAAGCUCUGUGGAGGGGGACGAAUAAGUCGGAGCGAACAGCUCCGAUGAUGACGGUACCCUUUUAGCAAGCACCGGCUAACUCUGUGCCAGCAGCCGCGGUAAGACAGAGGGUGCAAACGUUGUUCGGAAUUACUGGGCGUAAAGCGCGUGUAGGCGGCUCUGAUAAGUGAGGUGUGAAAGCCCUGGGCUCAACCCAGGAAGUGCACUUCGAACUAUCGAGCUUGAAUGCUGGAGAGGAAAGCGGAAUUCUCGGUGUAGAGGUGAAAUUCGUAGAUAUCAAGAGGAACACCGGUGGCGAAGGCGGCCAACUGGACAGAUACUGACGCUGAGACACGAAAGCGCGGGGAGCAAACA
rnacentral:rRNA from 1 species